GAUCUCCAAGUCCUGUGGUAUGGGCUCAUCAUUGCCAUCUUACAGAUGGGGUUGCUGAAGCAUAAAGAAUUGAAAUGACUUCCCUGGAAUCAUUAGGUGGGCAAAUGGCAGGACUAAAAAUAGAGUCUCAAUAUCCAGCUAUUCAAGCAACCCAUUGCCAUUCCUGACUUGGAAGAAGGUGCCAAUGAUGUUAGUUAAAGCAGGCAGAAAGCCUUGAUUCAUGGCAUUCUAAGCUUCAGACAAAGAUGGUUGGAGCACCGUGGUCAUAAACUCCAUCACAGAUUGGCUAUCAGCAGGAUGGGGGUGGCUGCAUGCUUUGCAGAUGAAUCAAUAUGGAGGAAGAAAACCCUAAUUUGCUGCAUCCUUUGCCUCUUCUAGUCGUGACCAAUGGAGACGUUUCAAAAUCAUGGCUCAGAGGUAUCUGGCAAGUAAGUUUUGUAAAUAAAGUGCUUUAUUAUUAUUAUUAUUUUUUAUCUGCUAGAUGAAAUGUUAGAUAGUUUCAAUGAAAACCUGAAAACAACAAAGCAAAGAUGGAACACUAAUGUUGGUGACCUCACUGGGAAGUCAGAAAGUUUUGCGUUCAUCCCACAUUUCUUCCCAGGGCUGCUUUAAAAGUUCAGAAUUGAGUAACAUCUUUAAAUACCAUUUCAUUUUCAUAUCAGGCAUCUAUUUAACAGUAAAUUGAACAUGAAUUUACAACUCUUGGAGUUCAUAAAGGAUUUCAAUCCUGAGAUUUUCCGCCCAGAGGGAUAAGGAUGGGAGUAGAACAGAAAGCAGAAGCUGGCAUGGAAGGGCUGGAUGUAGAAACACCUGAAUGCUACGCAGACAGACCAAAUUAAAAUGCUUGUUAAGGAGCAGGAGAGAUUGUCCUAUAUGGUGAGCUGGGAGCUGUUGUAGUAGGAUGCUCCAUGCUGGCAGUGUUUGGAUGGCUUCGUGUCUCUAAUAGGCACAAUAUGUUAUCCACCCAAAUCCCACUGCAGCCUUGGGCUAUGGAAUUAAGCAAGUCCGAAGAAUGCAGUGGGGAGAGUAAAUGAGGAGAGUCCUUGGAACUGUUUAUUGCUGUAGAAUAUAUGCUUUUUGGAAUAUGAUUAUGAAGAAUGUAAAAUGAAUUAUUAGCAGGCCAGAAAUCAAUUUCCUUCCAUACACAGUUAUUCUUGGCCAUGGUAAUCACUCCUCUCAAUAAUUUUAAAACUCAAAAAUUGGUUCAAACUUUGUUCCUCACUGGGAAUAUAUGUCACUACGAGGCAUCGGAAAUCUUCUUUACCACUUUCCCAUAAAGACCAGUUGACAAAUAUACGAACCAUCAUGGGAGUGGGAAAGUUUAUUUAUAUUUUUCAAGACAUGCAUAAGAUCAGCUCCCCCCCUUCCUCCAACCUGGGCACAUCUUUUUCUUCUGAACUUUCUGCUGAUGUCUGGAAGGGAAAUAAGGAAACAGGAGGAACACAUGGGGUGCUGGCAGCAGAGCUGCAUGUGGUUGUGGUUGGGGUACCAGGGUCAGAUGUGAGCAUCAUUCAUGUAAGGCUGUUCUUGUGCCUGUCCAUCCCAGUUUGUAGGCAGCAGUGAGUGGGGGCUCUCAAUGCUUCUCCCUAGUUGUGUUUUACACCAUUUUAUGGCUCUGGAUUCCAGUGAGUAAGGGAAUUGAAAAUGACUUUACUGUAGUUCAGACUAGAGUUCACAAGAAGUUUGUUAUCAAACUCACCAAUGUGGUAAUUAGUGCUGAGUGUUUCUAGAUGGAGAAAAUGCAUAUUCUGUAAAAAGAUCAUUUUUUUUCAUGGAAAAAAUUGAUUUUAAAGGAAUCACAUAGACGUUUCUGUUUUGUCAAGAAGAUUUGAACGAAACACAUCAUUCCUGCCUGGCGGAUCCAGAUCAAACUAUCUCAGCGUAUUAAGCCAAAUCAAAACAUGUCAUUUUCAAUUAAUUCAGGGUUUCUCUGUACUGGCCAGAGCUGG